UAUUGACACAUGUUUUAUAUUCAGGGUAUAAACAAACUGUGUACAAGAACUAACCCUAACCGUAUCCCUGUGCACAAUGACUGACCCAGGAAGCAAAGUGACAUUGAACCAACUGUCUGACAUAAGCAGCCAAACCCUGACCCUUCUCUGCUCUCCUCAGUCCCAACUAAACGUCAUGCAGCUGAGUUGUCUCCAUGCAGCAGCCGCCGACACUAUGGCGCCUACGCCCGUCCACAUGAAACCCCUGGAGGAGAAGGGGUCAGAGGUAAGGAGCCACCCCCGAGCUCGCCGUGCUUCCUCCGACGGAAACAACAGGGUCAAAUCAGCCCUCCCAGAGAAGCGCAUCACCACCAUCCCGGAGCUGGCCGAGUCCUUCAAUAGGAGACUGAGGCUCCACAACAAGAAGGUCAUGUCCACGAGGGAAGCGGACAGCCAUGAAGACGUGUGUAAUGGAGGAGGAGGAGGAGUCCAGGAGUUACAAUGCUCACACCGCUUCCACAAAGAGGUGGCCAGCAGACCGGAUGCGGGGCGUCCCCGGAGCGGGAGCACAGCCGGAGUCUGUGAUAGGAGGAAGUCUGUGAUUGGAGGAGAGGAGAGGCUGAGCUCAGGCGAAGGGCCGUUCAGCAAGGUGCAGGAGGACUACUGUAUCCCCCGACGCCAGCUAUCCCUCAGGAGACAACGCUGA
rnacentral:lncRNA from 8 species